rnacentral:lncRNA from 1 species
ACAGUUUGAGUAUCCUAAAAUGCAAAAAAUGCAUAAAGAUAAUGCUAGUGGAGAUUUCAGUAGUCUCUGAAAACAAUAACAACUACCUCAAAUCUCCAAGGAUGCUAUUGCAGAAGGAACCACAAGAAUCAAUGCCCAGAGUUUGUCGAUCGGUACCUGCAUGUAAGGUGCAGAAAAAGUAAGCGUGAGUAUGGAGACACGUGUACUCAGCAAGUAUUGUCGACCGACCCUAAUUCAUAGUGGUGAUGAGCAACACCACAUUAACCAUCUAAAAUAAUCAUACCAUAUGUUCUCAGGAACGCCAUCCUAAUCUAACUGAAUAAAUAAGUCUAACAGUGUUGAACAUGUUGAAAGGAUGAGUCUUAUUGAUAGCAAUGAAUGAUUUUAUGUAAAGUCUUUAUUUUGUUUAUGAAAUUGACACUUUGAGCUCAAAUUAUAUAUGUUUCUGUUGUUACCUAUUUUCUUUUGUAUACAUAAUAUUGUGAAUAAUGAUAAUAGGUUCUGACUUAGAUAAAGUAUUCUAAUAUUAUCGUUGGACCUAUUAUGUAUUUGAAAGGUUAUGUUAGGUAAUAGACUAAUAUUAUAGUACAUGGAAGAAACUAUGUCAAGUAAAGGGACAUACAACCGCCAUGACUCAUUUUAAUUGAUUUAUUUAACGAUGACAAAUGAUGUUGGAUUUAACGUUAAUAGUGCACAUGAUUGACGUACCUAUUAAACCAUUAAAUUAACAUUGUGUGUGCCAAGUGGGAGAAUGUAAAUUUCUAUGGCCCACAUAAUUUAUAUAUUUAUUGAUUUAAUAAUAAUUGAUAAGUUAAAUCCUUAAUCUAUAUGAAAAGUUACCUAGUAGAAUAAUUACUGACUCCUAGUAGGAUUGUAUCCACAAUUACUGAAUCCUAGUAGUAUAAUGAUUGUACCCACCAAUCACGUUGAUGGAACGUGAAAACAUAACUGACUAUUUCCAUUAUAAAAGGGGUCCUCUUUCUGCCAAAAGAAGAAUAAGCUCCAUCACAAUUAUUCUGAAAGUAAGGUAAAGAGAGAGAAACAAUUCAGUGCUUCUGCUAUUACGCUUUUGCUUUUGCUAAAACCAUGGAGAAUUCAGGUAAGUAAUUCUUUAUUGAAUUACUGUUAUUAUAUGUAUGUGAAAAUCAUUAAGUUCAACGUUCCUGAAUAAUACAAAGGAUUAUGGAUAGGAUUGUUUAUGUAUAAGAUUGUUUAAAUUUAUAUAAUCCGUUUUAUGGUUACAACUCGAGCACACGAAAAACAAUAACUUCUCGUGCUAGAGAACCGAACAAAGAUAGAAAAGAUUCAGAUACACCCUCAGUUGUUGAUUUUGAUGGUAGAUACUCGUGUAACAAGAAAGUGAGUGAAUGCACGGACAAUGCUUCAAUCUCGAACUUAACUCUUUUGUUCAACAGCAGCUCCAGUUCAAACCUUAAGGAGUGCAGAACAUUCAUAUAAAUAUUUUGACAACUUGGCGUUAACAUUACUUUAGUAGUACGAAAUUCUACCUUCAUUUUGGUAAUUCUCUUUGCAAAUAACAUCUAUGUAAUAUUGCUUCAACUUUCCUUUUAUUGAGAAGAUUACACAACUAGUCAUUCGUGAGUUUUCUUUUUCAUUUUUUGAAAAGAGACGAUGAAUGUGUGAGGUUUACCUUCUACAAUCAAAGGCAGGAGACAUUUUUGUGGAAUGCUAUAUUUGUCGCUAUCCUGGACAAAUACUCCAAGCCAUUGUAUCUCAGAGACUGGUAGAAAUGUUGCAUCAUAAGCCAUUUUCUUCAAAAAGCAUAUAAAGGCAUAUGUUACCAAAGAAAACAUCCUUCCAUCAAUCCAUCUAACCUAACUACUCUAUACACUUCAACUUACGUGUCUCGCGUAGAUUACUAUCAAGAUAAAAAUGAAUGCUUGAUAGCUUUUGAUAGGAAAACGGUAAAGAAUGUAUCAGACUUUUCUUUUAGAAAUGUGAAUGUAAGUUUGAACUAAUUAACUACGGAAGUGUAGACUGUUAUAGUGAAAAGGAAGAAUAUUAGCAACUUGAUCACAUGAUAAUAACACCACAUUGAAUAAUCCUUAAUGGUUUGGGUCGGGUUUGGGUCAUGCAUUUUAAUUGAAUCCAAAUUUAAUUUAAUAUUUUAAUUAAUUUAAUUUACAACCAAUAGAAAGCUGUCACGUGUUUAAUAGAAAUUCUAAUUAUGGUUUUAAAAUUUUUUGUUAGUUAUAAGGGUGUAUUUGACCCUAAAAGGUGGAUGGAAAGAUAUUUUUGGCCCAAUAGGUAAAUGAAGGGUAUUCUUGAACCAAUUUCAAUACUUGAACGAUUUUUCUGACCCUUUUCCGUUUAAUAAAUUAGCGUCUCAGAGAAAACCAUAAUGUAAUUUAUUAAAACGGUUGUAGUAAAAAUAGUAGUAACAAUAACAAUUAUGAUAGCAAAUAACACGAAUUUACCGACUUGAUUUUUUCGACUGCGUCUGCCACCCACCUCCUCAACCCCUCGUUAUUGCUAAAUUCAUGUUUCUAUUUCCUUGAUGGAAUGCUAUACAGUUACAGAGAACAAUUGUGUGAAUUAACUUUGUAGGAUGUUGUAAUUGAUAGAAUACGGAAAUUCUAAUUACUUAUACACGUGCGUAUGCUGACUAAAGAAGAUACUCCUAAAUUUAGAUUGUCAUAUGUUCCACAAUUAUGGCUAUUUUUUAUUAAAAAAAGUUUCACGCAUUCAAUAAUAGAAUUAUGACUAGAAGAAAUUUUUAUUUUUACGCAUAAAAAAAAUUUAAAAAAACUAUUUUCUUCUAUUCAAUCUAUAAGUGAUAAAAUUAUAUUAUUUCACCCUAUUCAAUAUAUCCCUGAAUAUAUCUAAUUGGAAAAAUUAUGCUUUGUGAAAAAAAAUUAAGAAGUAGGAAUUUAAAGAGUAUACAGUUACCUUAGAAGAAAUAUAUUUUAUAUUGAGGUAGACACUAGAGAAAAUUGAAGGAAAUGUGUCUUUUAAGUUUUGAAUGAAGAUUGGUGACAUUGACCAACUUAAAGGGUCAAACAUCAUUAGCAAACUUGAUUAAGUUAAUUGUAGACUUGAUUAAUAUUUUCAAAACUUUCUAAUCUUUUCAAAAAUACAAAUCAACCCAACCCACACCCCUCUUCAAUCCAAAUCAAUCACUCUCUCUCUCCAGCUUCUCUCAACUCUCUCCCAACCAACAGUUCUGCAAAAUUUCUCCCUUCAACCUCCAGCGACAAAUAGUCAGGCGAGUUCCUUUUCUACUUUCAACCGUCAAUCGACGUGAAGACUUCUCUGGCGACAACAACUUCGAGUUCUUCGUCGUUCCAUUUUCUUUUUCACAGGUAAAAAAUUAUAAAGAAACAGAGGAACUCGAGCCAACUACUCUUCUAGUAUUGAAAUGUGGACUGAAUAAAAUCCUAAUUUAUGGCAUUUCUUCUUCUUGUUGUCAUACUGUUGAUUCAAAUAUGUUGGUAAUUUUUGGUCACAGUUGAUGUUCUUAGUGUGUGUGUGUGUGUGAUGUAUUGGUGUUGCUGGGUUGAUUUGUUGUUUGUCUUGGUAAAAAUGGUAUUGCAACAGAUGAAACAUCUGAUGUAACAGAUGAAACAUAUGAUGCAACAGAUGAAAAUCUGAUGUAACAACUAAAAAUCUAAUGCAACAGGUGAACAAUCUAACAGAUCAUUCAUCUGUUGCGACAAACGACUCUUCUGUUUGAAAGAAAUCUAAAUAAUAUUGAUCCAACAGAUAACUUAUUAGUUAUCUAUUUUCCUUCUUUCCAACGGUUUACUCUGCAUUUUGCAACAGAUUAGGACUGUUUUAUUCCUUCCAACGGUUUACUCAUCCAUUACAACAGGCCGGUUAUAUGUUGCAACAGAUAACAUACCUGGUGCAACAGAUUAGUGAUCCAUUUUUAUUAUUUCAAACGGUUUACUCAUCCGUUGCAACAUAUUGGUUAUAUGUUGCAACAGAUAAAAUACCUGGUGCAACAAAUUAGUAAUCUGUUUUUAUGGUUUUCAAUGAAUUACUCAUUUGUUGCAACGGGUCAGUUAUAUAUUGCAUUAGAUUAAAUACUAGGUGCAACAGAUUAGUGCUGUUUUUAUGGUUUCCACGGAUUACUCAUCCAUUGCAACAGGUCAUUAUAUGUUGUAACAAAUAACAUACCUGGUGCAACAGAUUAUUUGUCUAUUGGAACUAUUAUAUUACUGUUAUGCAUUAAUCAAUUAUAAUCUAUGUUAUGUUCCUGUUAAUUUAAGAUAACAUGGCUCCCAAAAGAAAAGAAAUCGAAUCAAGUUCAAGUAAAGGAACAAGUGCAACAGCUCAGCUAUAUCCACCACUCUAUGAACUUGCUUUACAAGCGUUAUAUCAAUCAGGAGCAAAAAAUAAUGAACACGGAGAGGAGGAAUCAUUCAAAAAAGAUGAUCCAAAUGCUAAUAGCCCUUCCGCCGAAGAGUUGGUCAAAACCUUCAGCAUUGAUCAUUAUCCUGUGAGAAUGCAGUACGAUGGUGCCACAGAUUUAACAGGUGAUCUCGUGGUUAAGUCAGUCAUGGGAAAAUCUUUCGACGCCUUCAGAAAAAUACUUUGAGAACAAAAAUUGGAUUCUUAUUUCAGAGAAAGCUACUUUGGGCAAUAUCUUGAUUUGCCGGAGGACAACAAUGCUCGUUUUCAGAUUAAAAUGGUAUAUGAUCUUCUCAAGCGCAGAUUUAUGUAUGAAAACAAAGAUAAGAUGGAUGGGGUGUGGAUAAAUUCCUGUGGCAUACCUAUCUAUUGAUGUCUUCUGAAGAAUUGCUCCCAGGCAAGCAUGUCUGGUGAUGGUGUAGACUUUUGCAUAGCAGAUAUCUUGCCAUCUAUAUUGGAGAGGAGUGAUCAGCAAAAAGGCUGACAGAUUGAGCUUGUUUGAUUUGUGUACUAACUCGGGCAUAUUUUUUUGAUAAGGUAAUAAGCUCAGAGUUACGUAAUAUUUGAUAGGCUUGGUAAAGCUAGUUUAGCUCACAUGCUACGAAACUCCAUGCUUACUAAUUUAUCAAAUUAGUUGAGCAAGAUGCAUGGAGCAAAGCCUGAUAAAAGUGUGUUGUUCAACUGUUGGGACCACAUCUUCAAUGUGCAUCAACACAUUUUGACCUAAAACAAACAUAUCGACCCUCCAUGUAUUCUUUAAGGCUUCUAAAGAAAGUGUUCUGAAGGGCUUCUAGAAUACCACAACUUUGAAGGUAGUGUGACUGAUCGAGCUCAUAAGAGAUGAGGAACUCCUUACCAACUUCAAAGACGGCAACGACCAGCUUGAAUAUAGAAUCAGCAAGCUGGAGGCAAGCUUGAAAAUUAUCGAGAUUCACAUACUACAGCAAGCAUCUGAUCUUCUCUAAGGAAUAUUGAAAGAAUGCUAAGGCAAGAAAAUACAAUCAAUUAAUCCAUAUUGCUAAGGAAGUAAUGACACUCUAUUUGCCUUUCAAUCUCAUUUGUGGUUCCGUUCAGGUCAACGACAGUAGACCUGAUCGGAAACACAAACAAGAAGGCAGGGAUGAAAUUUAAUAUUUAGAAAUUGUCGCCUUCGCUUUGUUUCCUUAUUUAAACUGCAGUUGUUGUUGGCAUAAGUUUUCUAGACUCGCUGAACAUCAUUUCAACUCUCAAUGCCCGUGAGGCUGCUUUGCUGGUCUUCUUCUAUUUUCUACCUAGGUGAUAAUCCCGACCACGCAACUCCCUAGCAAAGUGUCAAUCUGCAUUAUUUUUUCUUUUAGAAACACAACAAAAAAAAUUACAUUACCGGAUACACUUUCAUAUUUGCACUUGAUUCAGAUUUCGCAUCUGUUAAGAUAAUUCCAUCGGCCAGAUUCGUUAGAUGUUACUUUCUACCCUAUGUCUCUUCUUCAAUUAGCUCUCAGAUGAUAUAGUCUUCCAUCAACUACCUUUUUUCCCUUGAAACCAUUCUCCUACCACACCUUCUGGCAUAUAAUCAUCACCCUGAGCGAGCAACCCAACCAUAUAAAUUUUGGCCAGGGCAAUAACUAUAUUGGUUUUCCGUUCUUGUUAGAUGCAGUGCUAAGCUUCAAAGGCCCUCUAAGGGUCCAAUGUACCCUAAAAGUUAGUCCAAUCGCUAUUGAAUCUCUGUAGUGAUGACAAAUAUUAAUCCCUUCUCAAAACUUAACACACAUAAACAUGAGCAACAACCGUCAGUAAUUCGUAAAAGGGUAUCUGCACUAUCUCCAUGAGGUCUUCAGCCUUAUCAAUUUCGAACCCAUCAAACUUAACGGUACAAUGCAAGAUCUUGUUUGAAUGAUCAAUGCCUAAUCAGUUAAAAACUGCAUUAAAAAAAAAACUGUACUUUGUGUGUGUUUUCCCAGUGAUUUUAUCAGUAAUACAUACUUAACUCCCACACAUAUGAUAGUGGAUCCAUCUGCACGCACCUUAUUCUUCUUAGUCCAUCUAUGACUUAAAUUAAAUAAACAGAUAACUAUUUAGUUGCAACAGAUGACACAUCUGUUUAUAUUGUCAAACAAUUAGAGACAUCUGUUAUAAUAGUUGAUUAACCUGUUGCUGAAAUCAAACAGAUAUAUAUAUCUGUUGCAAAAGAUUGCCAGUAUGUUGUAAGUUAUCUAACAGAAAGAAUAUAUUUUACAACAGAUUACCCAUCUGUUAUCUGCUGUAGCAAAUAUAGAAUUUGUUGCCACAACUCAAUAAAAAUGGUUCUUCGAAAGAACUAAUUAAUAAUAAUAAUCUAAAAAGUCAUGACUUAUAUCACAAUAUUUAUUUUCUUAAUUUAAUCAAAAAUAUAAUUGAUGUAUGGAGGUGAAUAGUCGCGCCUUUUUACCUCUCAUUCAAAUUCAAUCCUCUAUAAAUAGGUCCCUCCUUACUCAAUCGUUCCUUCAACUACACUCUAUUUAUUUAUUGCAUCUCUUCUUUCAUAUUACACUCUAGAAGAUAAGAUUAUGGCUGACCCAGUGUGGGACAUUGCUUUUCUGCAAGACGCAGUGAAUGAACUUCGAAAUCAAGUUCGUGACUUGCAAUGGGAACUGGGAGGAGUUGGAGCAAGAAUGCUCUGCGAGAUACGCAGGCUGAGGAGGGCCUUGCUACUUCCGGUUGAAGAUUGACCGGCUGGCAAUGAUGAUGAUAAUAAUAAUAAUAAUUAGAUUAUUAUUUUUCUUUUAGUCUAUUAUAUGUAUUUUUAUUUGUUUUUCUUUAAUAAAUAAAUUAUGUUUGAUCUUUGAUGUUUUAAUCCAUAUUUCAUUUUCAUUUUGUCUAUUAUCUUCUCAACAAACAUGUCAAUCAUUUGACGUAAAAAGGAAUAAUUUAGAAUCCAGUAGCAAUAGCAAGAUUUAUCUGUUGGGUUUAUGGCAGGGGUUAAUGUGUUGUUCAAAAUAGAUUACUCAUGUGAGAACAGAUAAGAAGUCUGAUGCAACAGAUAAAUAGUCUGUUUCAACAUAUGACUAGUUUGUUGCUUUACUAGGCUCUGACGUUUUAAUUCAUACUCCCUCUGUCUCAAAUUACCCAUCCCAAAUUGAGAUGCCAUAUUGAUUAAAAAAAAUAAUUAAUAACAUGUCUAGUUUACCAUAACCCACUGAUUAGUUGGUGGGACAGUAGAUGUGUUUGAAAUAGCCAUUGUUUUCUAUUCAAUUGAAAUUUCAUAAGAGAAGAAAGCUUUUAAUGUUGGUCGGCGUAUAGUCCCCCUAUUAAAUGAUGUUUCCAUUUUAAUUUGAAGAAAAAGUGAUUAAUGCAAAGGGUAAAACAUGGAUUUUUUAAUCUUUUCUUGAUAAAUGAAAAAGACAAGUAAAAUGAGAAAUUAAAUUAGGAAAUUUGGGAUGGGUAAUUGGACGUAAGAUAUAAUUUUGAAUCCAGUAGCAAUAGCAAGAGUUGAAACAUAUUGGUUAUUUGUUGGGUUUGUGGCAGGGGUUGAUUUGUGUUGUUUCGAACAGAUUAAUCAUUUGUUGCAAUAGAUAAUUAGUCUGGUGCAACAGAUAAACAUGCUGGUGCAACAGAUAAUUAGUCUGGUGCAACAGAUAAACAUUCUGAUACAACAGAUAAUACGUCUGAUGGAAUAGAUAAAUCUUCUGAUGCAAUAGAUUACUCAUCUGAUACACCAGAUGAUUGAUGUGUUUAAAUUGUAUGCACUUAUGCUGGAUUCAUGAUCGGGGUUCUAUCCAUUGUUGAAAAAAAAGAAGUGUACCCAGAUGACAAAUAUGAAACAAAAUCAUAAUUUUACUUACCAAAGUCACUUGUGACAGAUAAACAUCCGGAUACAACAGAUAAUACGUCUGAUACAACAAAUUAUACAUCUGAUGCAACAGAUAAACAGUCUGAUGCAACAGAUUACUCAUCUGAUGCACCAGAUGAUGAUCUAUUUAAAUUAUGGGCACUUAUGUUGGAUUCAUGAUCAGGGUUCCAUCUAUUAUUGGAAAAACAAAAGUGUACCCAGAUGACAAAUACGAAUAAAAAUCAUAAUUUUACUUACCAAAGUCACCUAUGAAGUAAUGCCAAAGUGGAAAGUGAUGUAGUAAAUAAAAUUUGACCUAAGAAAUUGGUC